AGAGUUUGAUCCUGGCUCAGGAUAAACGCUGGCGGCGCACAUAAGACAUGCAAGUCGAACGAAAGUCGUUUUAGUGAGUUUGAUAUGAAAGAUUUAUCCGGAUUUGAUGAUGAUCUAAAACAAUGGCUUUAGUGGCGGACUGGUGAGUAACACGUAAGCAACCUGCCUGUUAGAGGGGAAUAACAACGAGAAAUCGUUGCUAAUACCGCAUAUGCCAUAAGGACCACAUGGUUCUAGUGGGAAAGGAGUAAUCCGCUAACAGACGGGCUUGCGUCUGAUUAGAUAGUUGGUGGGGUAACGGCCUACCAAGUCUACGAUCAGUAGCCGGACUGAGAGGUUCAACGGCCACAUUGGGACUGAGAUACGGCCCAGACUCCUACGGGAGGCAGCAGUCGGGAAUAUUGCGCAAUGGAGGAAACUCUGACGCAGUGACGCCGCGUAUAGGAAGAAGGUUUUCGGAUUGUAAACUAUUGUCGAUAGGGAAGAUAAAAGACUGUACCUAUCAAGAAAGCUCCGGCUAACUACGUGCCAGCAGCCGCGGU
rnacentral:rRNA from 1 species